rnacentral:rRNA from 1 species
AUUGAACGCUGGCGGCAGGCCUAACACAUGCAAGUCGAGCGGAUGAGGGGAGCUUGCUCCCUGAUUUAGCGGCGGACGGGUGAGUAAUGCGUAGGAAGCUGCCCGAUAGAGGGGGAUACCAGUUGGAAACGACUGUUAAUACCGCGUAAUGUCUACGGACCAAAGUGUGGGACCUUCGGGCCACAUGCUAUCGGAUGCGCCUACGUGGGAUUAGCUAGUUGGUGAGGUAAGGGCUAACCAAGGCGACGAUCUCUAGCUGGUUUGAGAGGAUGAUCAGCCACACUGGAACUGAGACACGGUCCAAACUCCUACGGGAGGCAGCAGUGGGGAAUAUUGGACAAUGGGCGCAAGCCUGAUCCAGCCAUGCCGCGUGUGUGAAGAAGGCCUUCGGGUUGUAAAGCACUUUCAGCGAGGAGGAAGGGUGGUGUGUUAAUAGCACAUCAUUUUGACGUUACUCGCAGAAGAAGCACCGGCUAACUCUGCGCCAGCCGCCGCCGUAAAAC